GACGUAGGGCGCGAGCGUUGUCCGGAUUUAUUGGGCGUAAAGAGCUCGUAGGCGGCUUGUUGCGUCGACCGUGAAAACCCGGGGCUCAACUUCGGGCUUGCGGUCGAUACGGGCGGGCUAGAGUGCGGUAGGGGAGAAUGGAACUCCUGGUGUAGCGGUGGAAUGCGCAGAUAUCAGGAAGAACACCGAUGGCGAAGGCAGUUCUCUGGGCCGUAACUGACGCUGAGGAGCGAAAGCGUGGGGAGCGAACAGG
rnacentral:rRNA from 1 species